GGAGNAGGGUGGCUAGANUGAANNUUCAANGGNAUNGNCGUNGNCCNNGCACAAGCGGGGGAGCAUGNGNUUUAAUUUUAAGCAACNNGAUGAACNUUAANAAGGUCUUGACAUCNUNUGNUACUUCUAGAGAUAGAAGGUUCCCUUCGGGGACAGAGUGACAGGUGGUGCAUGGUUGUCGUCAGCUCGUGUCGUGAGAUGUUGGGUUAAGUCCCGCAACGAGCGCAACCCUUGAUNUUAGUUGCCAGCAUUUAGUUGGGCACUCUAAGGUGACUGCCGGUGACAAACCGGAGGAAGGUGGGGAUGACGUCAAAUCAUCAUGCCCCUUAUGACCUGGGCUACACACGUGCUACAAUGGAUGGUACAAAGGGCUGCAAAACCGCGAGGUUAAGCCAAUCCCAUAAAACCAUUCUCAGUUCGGAUUGUAGGCUGCAACUCGCCUACAUGAAGCCGGAAUCGCUAGUAAUCGCGGAUCAGCAUGCCGCGGUGAAUACGUUCCCGGGUCUUGUACACACCGCCCGUCACACCACGAGAGUUUGUAACACCCGAAGUCGGUGAGGUAACCUUUUGGAGCCAGCCGCCGAAUGGUGGGACAGAUGAUUGGGGUGAAGUCGAACAAGGNG
rnacentral:rRNA from 1 species